rnacentral:rRNA from 1 species
GACGAACGCUGGCGGCGUGCCUAAUACAUGCAAGUAGGACGCAGUUGCGAAUGGGUGAGUAACGCGUAGGUAACUACCUAUUAGAGGGGGAGGACUAUUGGAAACGAUAGCUAAUACCGCAUACUAGUAGAUGGACGUGCGUUGUAUUAGCUUGUAGGUAGGGUAAUGGCCUACCUAGGCAACGAUACAUAGCCGACCUGGAGGGGUGAUCCGCCACACUGGGACUGAGACACCGCCCAGACGCCGACGGGAGGCAGCAGUAGGGAAUCUUUGGCAAUGGGGGGAACCCUGACCGAGCAACGCCGCGGGAGUGAAGAAGGUUUGCGGAUCGUAAAGCUCUGUUGUUAAGGAAGCGGCACUUAACCAGAAAGGGACGGCUAACUACGUGCCAGCAGCCGCGGUAAUUC